rnacentral:lncRNA from 1 species
AAAAAAUAUGCUGGUUCAAGGCCUAAAGUAAAAUGAUCAAUAAUGUUUGUAGCAUUAAUGAAAUAUUUUCAAGAAAUGUGUCCAGGGGUAGCACUGGCUAUGUUGACGAGGCCUUUGGUAACUCAGAGAGCUCUUGGCCCUGAUGGGGACUUGCCCUUACGCUUUCUUUAUCAGGCUCUGAGUUCACACGGAGCCUCUGGCACUUCCCUGCUGUCUUGGGAGAAAGGAAACUGGUUGCCGCGGCAGGUUGUGGAAUCUGUUGCUGGAACCAGGCUGGAAGCCCACCUGCACGUCCAGAAGGCUAACCCAGGUGGGGAGGAUGCUGACACCAGCUCCAGGUGGAGUUGGUGGUCUUAAUUUGGAGAUGCAGGGGCAACCUGUGACCCUUUGAGGCAAGAGCCCUGCACCCAGCUGUCCCGUGCAGCCGUGGGCAGGGGCUGCACACGGAGGGGCAGGCGGGCCAGUUCAGGGUCCGUGCCAGGCCCUCCUCAGUGCCCUGUGAAGGCCUCCUGUCCUCCGUGCGGCUGGGCACCAGCACCAGGGAGUUUCUAUGGCAACCUUAGUGAUUAUUAAGGAACACUGUCAGUUUUAUGAACAUAUGCUCAAAUGAAAUUCUACUUUAGGAGGAAAGGAUUGGAACAGCAUGUCACAAGGCUGUUAAUUAACAGAGAGACCUUAUUGGAUGGAGAUCACAUCUGUUAAAUAGAAUACCUCAACUCUACGUUGUUUUCUUGGAGAUAAAUAAUAGUUUCAAGUUUUUGUUUGUUUGUUUUACCUAAUUACCUGAAAGCAAAUACCAAAGGCUGAUGUCUGUAUAUGGGGCAAAGGGUCAGUAUAUUUUUCAGUGUUUUUUUUUCUACCAGCUAUUUUGCAUUUAAAGUGAACAUUGUGUUUGGAAUAAAUACUCU